UGGAAACUCACCCAGCUGUAAAGAUCACUUUGCCAUAACACUCCAACAAUUGAGCUACAGUAGCAAACAAGGACCCAAUACUGAAAGGGAGCGCAAUUAUGGCACAAGAGAGUAUAUAUGGGAACAUCUCCACCAUUCAGAAUGAAAUACAGAAUAUUUGUCAGCAGCAACCUUUCCCAGCUCAAACGUUUAAUUAUGGAAUGAGCACCAUUGAGCAGGAGAUGAUCACACAAAGAUUUAACUGGGAAGAAGACCUCAGUCAAAAGCAGAAGAAUGGUACAGUACCAGCUUGGGAUCUUUUCUUGCCAUAUUCUUGCACAUUUGAUAUCUUUAUAGUUACAUUUAUGGGUUAGACUUUGUAAAUAGCAGGAAGUCAACUAGAUGACAAUGUUUUAUGCGCCCAAUAAAUAAUGUACUGUUAGUGGAAGAUUAAAAGUACCUUAUGCAAGCAGUGAAAAUAGUUGCUAAUUUGCCUAGUUCUAACAGAUUUGACAGCCUCUUCUUAUGACCAGCAAUGGGGAUGACAACGAUAUACAGGAUUAUGAAGUCAGGGAGCUCUCUGCUCCUAUUAAAUGAGAAGUGGAAAAAGCCCUUGUCCUUACUAGAAACAACAGAGGUCCUGAGGUACUUCUCCACUUUGCUGUUCUUGUGUAAAAGUCCCAGAUUAUUAUAAAAUAAAGCUUAAUUAAAGACUAUUACCAUAAUCAGCUUUACAAUCUAUGCAAUCUAUACUUUUAUUAUUAAUUCAUUUGGCUGACACUUUUACUGGGUACUAA
rnacentral:lncRNA from 1 species